GGGGAUAAAUGCUGGUAUGUCUUAUCUGACCUGAGCUGAUGUCUGUCACCACUUUAGCUCCAGAAUUACUCUGACACCCA